rnacentral:snRNA from 1 species
AUGAGUGCUAAACCAAUAUCGUA